rnacentral:rRNA from 1 species
ACGGGAGGCAGCAGUCGGGAAUAUUGCACAAUGGGGGAAACCCUGAUGCAGUGACGCCGCGUAUAGGAAGAAGGUCUUUGGAUUGUAAACUAUUGUCGACAGGGAAGAAAAAAAUGACAGUACCUGUGGAGGAAGCCCCGGCAAACUACGUGCCAGCAGCCGCGGUAAUACGUAGGGGGCGAGCGUUAUCCGGAUUUAUUGGGUGUAAAGGGUGCGUAGACGGAUUUGCAAGUUGGUUGUGAAAUCCCUGAGCUCAACUCAGGAACUGCAACCAAAACUGUAGACCUUGAGUGCGGGAGAGGAAAGCGGAAUUCCUAGUGUAGCGGUGAAAUGCGUAGAUAUUAGGAGGAACACCAGUGGCGAAGGCGGCUUUCUGGACCGUAACUGACGUUGAGGCACGAAAGUGUGGGGAGCAAACAGGAUUAGAUACCCUGGUA